rnacentral:rRNA from 1 species
UAGGGAAUCUUCCACAAUGGACGCAAGUCUGAUGGAGCAACGCCGCGUGAGUGAAGAAGGUCUUCGGAUCGUAAAGCUCUGUUGUUGGUGAAGAAGGAUAGAGGCAGUAACUGGUCUUUAUUUGACGGUAAUCAACCAGAAAGUCACGGCUAACUACGUGCCAGCAGCCGCGGUAAUACGUAGGUGGCAAGCGUUGUCCGGAUUUAUUGGGGCGUAAAGCGAGCG